rnacentral:rRNA from 1 species
UCGAGCGGAUGACGGGAGCUUGCUCCCGAAUUCAGCGGCGGACGGGUGAGUAAUGCCUAGGAAUCUGCCUGGUAGUGGGGGACAACGUCUCGAAAGGGACGCUAAUACCGCAUACGUCCUACGGGAGAAAGCAGGGGACCUUCGGGCCUUGCGCUAUCAGAUGAGCCUAGGUCGGAUUAGCUAGUUGGUGAGGUAAUGGCUCACCAAGGCGACGAUCCGUAACUGGUCUGAGAGGAUGAUCAGUCACACUGGAACUGAGACACGGUCCAGACUCCUACGGGAGGCAGCAGUGGGGAAUAUUGGACAAUGGGCGAAAGCCUGAUCCAGCCAUGCCGCGUGUGUGAAGAAGGUCUUCGGAUUGUAAAGCACUUUAAGUUGGGAGGAAGGGCAUUAACCUAAUACGUUAGUGUUUUGACGUUACCGACAGAAUAAGCACCGGCUAACUCUGUGCCAGCAGCCGCGGUAAUACAGAGGGUGCAAGCGUUAAUCGGAAUUACUGGGCGUAAAGCGCGCGUAGGUGGUUUGUUAAGUUGGAUGUGAAAGCCCCGGGCUCAACCUGGGAACUGCAUUCAAAACUGACAAGCUAGAGUAUGGUAGAGGGUGGUGGAAUUUCCUGUGUAGCGGUGAAAUGCGUAGAUAUAGGAAGGAACACCAGUGGCGAAGGCGACCACCUGGACUGAUACUGA